CAAAAAUUAAUUAAUAUAUAAUAUAAAUUUGUCAAAUUUAAGUUACUUUCGAGUAUUUUUGU
rnacentral:tRNA from 1 species